AGAGUUUGAUCAUGGCUCAGGGUGAACGCUGGCGGCGUGGAUGAGGCAUGCAAGUCGAAUGGGUUUAGACCCAUGGCAGACGGGGUAGUAACACGUAGGUACGUACCAAAGAGUCGGGGAUAAUCGGUCGAAAGAUCGGAUAAUACCUGAUGGUCCCUUCGGGGUAAAGAUUUAUCGCUCUUUGAACGGCCUGCGGAGUAUCAGCUUGUUGGUAAGGUAAUGGCUUACCAAGGCUAUGACGCUUAGGGGAGGUGAGAGCCUGACCCCCACCAUUGGAACUGAGACACUGUCCAAACUCCUACGGGAGGCUGCAGUCGAGAAUCUUCCGCAAUGGGCGAAAGCCUGACGGAGCGACGCCGCGUGGUGGAUGAAGUCCUUAGGGACGUAAACACCUUUUAUGAGGGAGGAAGUUUAUUGACGUUACCUCAUGAAUAAGGGGCUCCCAAUUCUGUGCCAGCAGGAGCGGUAAUACAGAAGCCUCGAGCGUUACCCGGAUUUACUGGGCGUAAAGGGUGCGUAGGUGGUGCUAUUAGUCUCUCGUUAAAACUUCGGGCUCAACCCGAAGAUCGCGAGGGAAACGGUAGCACUAGAGAAUGUGAGGGGUGUGCGGAACUUAUGGUGUAGGGGUGAAAUCCGUUGAUAUCAUGGGGAACACCGAAAGCGAAGGCAGCACACUGGCGCAUUUCUGACACUGAGGCACGAAAGCGUGGGUAGCGAACGGGAUUAGAUACCCCGGUAGUCCACGCCCUAAACGUUGCCCGCUAGCCUUUGGGAGUAUCGACCCUCUCAGAGGCGAAGCUAACGCGUUAAGCGGGCCGCCUGGGUAGUACGAGCGCAAGCUUAAAACUCAAAGGAAUUGACGGG
rnacentral:rRNA from 1 species